CCCCCCCCCCAAAACGAUUUAGCUUUAUUAUAGUUAGGACUAAUAAAUCUUUAUGUGAGAAAUUUUCUAAGCUCAUGCAGAACAGGUUUGGAAUGAGCAUGAUGGGUGAGUUGAACUAUUUUCUUGGACUUCAAGUAAAACAAAUGAAAGAAGGAAUUUUCGUAAACCAAGCCAAGUACACUAAAGAUCUUAUCAAAAAGUUUGGCUUAGAAGGAAAAGGCUCUGUCAAAAUUCAUGAGCACUUCAUCAAGAUUGGAUAAAGAUGACGAAGGAAAAGACGUUGACCAAAUAAAGUAUGGUGGAAUGAUUGGAUCUCUACUAUACGUAACUGCAAGUAGACCCGAUAUAUCUUACUCAGUAGGUGUAUGUGCAAGAUUUCAAUCAAAGCCCAAAGAAAGUCACCUUGCUACCAAAAAGAUCAUCAGAUAUCUAAAAGGAACAAUGGGAUUAUGGUAUUCCAAAGAAGGUAACUUUAUAUAUGUAUAUGUGUGCUGUGGAUGAAUAUGAAUACUUAGAAUAGUAUUUGUUGUGGAGAAUACUUCAAUUCAAGCCGUGUAAAGGGAACUCCCCUUUCACGUUCAAAUUGGGGCAAUGUAACCAUUUCUUGAUGAGUUUUCCAGCAACUCAGGCAGUUUGCCUAUGUAGCAUUUUAGCUGGGUAUGUUUUCUCAUUUCAAGUGAAGUUAUAAAAGGGCGUGGUAUUGGGAUUGCUGCAAUGAGAAAGGGAGAAAGAAGAUUGUAUACUAUUCUAGCCAAUAUGGUUUCAUGGCAGAGAUUAGGUAAAAGGAAUGGGAUUGAGGGUGCAAAAGUAUUUAACAAUGCUUUUGUAUGAGGGGACAGAUCAGGGUGUCCUGUAAGGAGAUUAAGGAGGUUUCCCCCCUACCAUGUCAAAAGCAUGGUGUUCUUUGAUAACAGUGCUUGAUUGAAAUUUUGAGGCAUAGAUUUGCUUGACUGGGCAAUUUGUGGAAAACUUGGUACUAGGUAAGAUUAAUCUCAAUAGGUGCUGGAAUUAGUAGACUGCAAAAGAUAAUAAUAUUUAUAUGCUUGGAUAACUAUAAACUAGAACAAUUUUCGGUGGUGCUUCUUGACUAGGAUAAGGCGUAGUAUUUGUUAGUAGUUUCUUUCCAGUUUAGGAAAUUAGUAUUGUAGAGGAAGAAGAUAACUUAGUUUUCAUGGAUGAAGGCAUGAAGCAUCUUGAGAACCUAGUGGAAAGAGUAUAUUGUAUAUAAAAACGUGGUUACAAAUGUGCUAUAAAUUUGUACUCCUAAUCAAAUGUCUAUUUUCCAUUCAAAUUGACUGUCUCCAUGCUCUGUACAACAGAAGCUCUACUGUAUGUCUGUAUAAACGCAUAAAACUUUUAUUUGCCUGUAAAGGAAGUAAAUAUCAGGUGUUUACCCUUUGUCUCUCCUAUGGCCUCAUGUUGUUUAUAAGUAUGAUCUUACAUGCUUGGUCUUAUCCUUCUUUUUAAUUUCAUAAGUACGUCUAGUUUUAUCUAUUGUGUGGACAAUCUUCUGAAUUCAUAUACAACCACCGAGCAAUUUUUGUAGGGUAGUGGAUCAGCAACCCAAAAUGAAUUUUCAUAUAUGUCAUGGAAUAGAAAGGUUCAACAGAUAUUGGCGUCCACAUCAUCAAAUGGCACAACUGGUCAGCAAGAAGUCAGCUGAAGGAUGCACUAGUCUCCAUUUGAAGUUUGAAAAAAUUGCCUUUUAAUCUUAAAAUUUUAUUUUCCUUUUCUAUUUCUCUAGUGGUUUGGGAUCUGAGGAAUCAAAAACCUGUGAUAAGGUAUGCCUUAUCCUAAAAUUGGCGCGUUGUUUUGUUCUUUCCAUUAUUUGAUCUCAAAUUAUAACCUACUUUAAAGGGUAAACUUGCAGUUUCUCAGAUUCUCAAAUUCUAUUAGAAUCCUGAUGUUGCCACUCAACUUGUAGUUGCCUCUGAUGAAGAUACUUCACAUGCAUUGAGGAUGUGGGAUAUGCGAAAUACAAUGUCUCCAGUGAAAGAGCUUACGGGGCAUACCAAAGAGAGUGAAGCUCUGUGAAGAUGUGAUUAUUUAGCAUCUCUAAUGUUUAUUUUUUUGAAAAGCAUUUCUAAUGUAUAACCAAGAAUUUGGUGCAUUUAGAGAACUGCUUCUCCAAUUCCAUCUUGUUGAGUUGGUUGAAUUUGAUUCUUUAUAGUCUUUACAAAGUUGUAUGAAAUAUUUCAUUUUUGUAGUGGUGAUGAAGUCUUUUAAUA